rnacentral:rRNA from 1 species
AGUGAACGCUGGCGGUAGGCCUAACACAUGCAAGUCGAACGGCAGCACAGUAAGAGCUUGCUCUUACGGGUGGCGAGUGGCGGACGGGUGAGGAAUACAUCGGAAUCUACUUUUUCGUGGGGGAUAACGUAGGGAAACUUACGCUAAUACAGCAUACGACCUACGGGUGAAAGCAGGGGAUCUUCGGACCUUGCGCGAUUGAAUGAGCCGAUGUCGGAUUAGCUAGUUGGCGGGGUAAAGGCCCACCAAGGCGCCGAUCCGUAGCUGGUCUGAGAGGAUGAUCGGCCACACUGGAACGGAGACACGGUCCAGACUCCUACGGGAGGCAGCAGUGGGGAAUAUUGGACAAUGGGCGCAAGCCUGAUCCAGCCAUACCGCGUGGGUGAAGAAGGCGUUCGGGUUGUAAAGCCCUUUUGUUGGGAAAGAAAAGCAGCAGGUUAAUACCCCGCGGUUCUGACGGUACCCAAAGAAUAAGCACCGGCUAACUUCGUG